AUUGAACGCUGGCGGCAGACCUAACACAUGCAAGUAGAACGAGUGGCGGACGGGUGAGUAAUGUCUGGGAAACUGCCCGAUGGAGGGGGAUAACUACUGGAAAAGGUAGCUAAUACCGCAUACGAUCGGAUGUUCCCAGAUGGGAUUAGCUAGUCGUUGGGGUAAUGGCUCCCCUAGGCGACGAUCCCUAGCUGGUCUGAGAGGAUGACCAGCCACACUGGAACGUAGACACGGUCCAGACGCCUACGGGAGGAAGCAGUGGGGAAUAUUGCACAAUGGGCGCAAGCCUGAUGCAGCCAUGCCGCGUGGAUGAAGAAGGCCUUCGGGUUGUAAAGUACUUUCAGCGAGGAGGCGUUACUCGCAGAAGAAGCACCGGCUAACUCCGUGCCAGCAGCCACGGUAAUAC
rnacentral:rRNA from 1 species